rnacentral:rRNA from 1 species
UGGCGAACGGGUGAACGACGUGGAGGGAAACCGCCUCAAAGAGGGGGACAACAGUUGGAAACGACUGCUAAUACCGCAUAAGCCCACGGGUCGGCAUCGACCUGAGGGAAAAGGAGCAAUCCGCUUUGAGAUGGCCUCGCGUCCGAUUAGCUAGUUGGUGAGGUAACGGCCCACCAAGGCGACGAUCGGUAGCCGGACUGAGAGGUUGAACGGCCACAUUGGGACUGAGACACGGCCCAG